rnacentral:rRNA from 1 species
AUGGGCGAAAGCCUGACCGAGCAACGCCGCGUGAGCGAUGAAGGCCUUCGGGUCGUAAAGCUCUGUUGUUAGAGAAGAACAAGUACGAGAGUAACUGCUCGUACCUUGACGGUACCUAACCAGAAAGCCACGGCUAACUACGUGCCAGCAGCCGCGGUAAUACGUAGGUGGCAAGCGUUAUCCGGAAUUAUUGGGCGUAAAGCGCGCGCAGGCGGUCUCUUAAGUCUGAUGUGAAAGCCCACGGCUCAACCGUGGAGGGUCAUUGGAAACUGGGAGACUUGAGUGCAGGAGAGAAAAGUGGAAUUCCACGUGUAGCGGUGAAAUGCGUAGAGAUGUGGAGGAACACCAGUGGCGAAGGCGGCUUUUUGGCCUGUAACUGACGCUGAGGCGCGAAAGCGUGGGGAGCAAACAGGAUUAGAUACCCUGGUAGUCCACGCCGUAAACGAUGAGUGCUAGGUGUUGGGGGGUUCCACCCUCAGUGCUGAAGUUAACACAUUAAGCACUCCGCCUGGGGAGUACGACCGCAAGGUUGAAACUCAAAGGAAUUGACGGGGGCCCGCACAAGCAGUGGAGCAUGUGGUUUAAUUCGAAGCAACGCGAAGAACCUUACCAGGUCUUGACAUCCUCUGACCACUCUAGAGAUAGAGCUUUCCCCUUCGGGGGACAGAGUGACAGGUGGUGCAUGGUUGUCGUCAGCUCGUGUCGUGAGAUGUUGGGUUAAGUCCCGCAACGAGCGCAACCCUUGACCUUAGUUGCCAGCAUUCAGUUGGGCACUCUAAGGUGACUGCCGGUGACAAACCGGAGGAAGGUGGGGAUGACGUCAAAUCAUCAUGCCCCUUAUGACCUGGGCUACACACGUGCUACAAUGGAUGGUACAAAGGGUUGCGAAGCCGCGAGGCCAAGCCAAUCCCAAAAAGCCAUUCUCAGUUCGGAUUGUAGGCUGCAACUCGCCUACAUGAAGCCGGAAUUGCUAGUAAUCGCGGAUCAGCAUGCCGCGGUGAAUACGUUCCCGGGCCUUGUACACACCGCCCGUCACACCACGAGAGUU